rnacentral:rRNA from 1 species
UACUACGGCCAUGCCGCCCUGAACAAGCCCUAUUGUGUCUGAUCUCGGAAGUUAAGCAGGGUCGGGCCUGGUUAGUCUUUGGAUGGGAGACCACCUAGGAAGACCAAGUGCUAUAGGCG